AGGGUCUUUUGCAGUGAAUUCGUAAACCGAUCCCAAAUCGUUUUAAAAUUUAAAAUCCGGAUAAACAAUCUAAUAUUUGUAUUACUAAGCUGAUUCAAUGUAUUCACCAGUCAUAAGUCACAGGUCAUUCAAACAUUUUAACAGCUUCAUUUCACGUAGUUGCAUACACAAUGAGCCGCCGUUAGAAGAACAUUUUGGCCCAAAACUGAAGAACCACACAUGAAAUUACCUUCACAUGGAAUACUUAGAUAAGUUGAAUGAGGAAACAUUUCUAUAUCUGCAUAAUCGCCGUCAAGAAUGAAAGAGUCUAGUUCAGUUUUGCAAUAUUUGAAUAACGUCAAAUGUAUUGGAAUUAAAACAAACAAGAAAUAUUCAUGCAUUUCGACUCGUGAUUUUAGUCAGAACGUUUUCAAUUAUUGUUUUUAUGGUCCAAGAUUAGGUCGUUAAGUUGUCCCUUCUUAAUUGGAUCGGUAAUCGCUGUGCUAGGCCAUGUUUUUAAUAAUUUGGUUGUGCAGAAGUGAUCUCGAUCUACUUUAAUAAUGACUCUAUUUGGGACAUUGUAUAAUUAAAACCAGUCUUACGGUUUAA